rnacentral:rRNA from 1 species
GGGGCAGUGCGGCGUGCAUAUACUGACAGUAGAACGCUGAAGAGAGGAGCUUGCUCUUCUUGGAUGAGUUGCGAACGGGUGAGUAACGCGUAGGUAACCUGCCUUGUAGCGGGGGAUAACUAUUGGAAACGAUAGCUAAUACCGCAUAACAAUGGAUGACACAUGUCAUUUAUUUGAAAGGGGCAAUUGUUCCACUACAAGAUGGACCUGCGUUGUAUUAGCUAGUAGGUGAGGUAAUGGCUCACCUAGGCGACGAUACAUAGCCGACCUGAGAGGGUGAUCGGCCACACUGGGACUGAGACACGGCCCAGACUCCUACGGGAGGCAGCAGUAGGGAAUCUUCGGCAAUGGGGGCAACCCUGACCGAGCAACGCCGCGUGAGUGAAGAAGGUUUUCGGAUCGUAAAGCUCUGUUGUAAGUCAAGAACGGGUGUGAGAGUGGAAAGUUCACACUGUGACGGUAGCUUACCAGAAAGGGACGGCUAACUACGUGCCAGCAGCCGCGGUAAUACGUAGGUCCCGAGCGUUGUCCGGAUUUAUUGGGCGUAAAGCGAGCGCAGGCGGUUUGAUAAGUCUGAAGUUAAAGGCUGUGGCUCAACCAUAGUUCGCUUUGGAAACUGUCAAACUUGAGUGCAGAAGGGGAGAGUGGAAUUCCAUGUGUAGCGGUGAAAUGCGUAGAUAUAUGGAGGAACACCGGUGGCGAAAGCGGCUCUCUGGUCUGUAACUGACGCUGAGGCUCGAAAGCGUGGGGAGCGAACAGGAUUAGAUACCCUGGUAGUCCACGCCGUAAACGAUGAGUGCUAGGUGUUGGAUCCUUUCCGGGAUUCAGUGCCGCAGCUAACGCAUUAAGCACUCCGCCUGGGGAGUACGACCGCAAGGUUGAAACUCAAAGGAAUUGACGGGGGCCCGCACAAGCGGUGGAGCAUGUGGUUUAAUUCGAAGCAACGCGAAGAACCUUACCAGGUCUUGACAUCCCGAUGCUAUUUCUAGAGAUAGAAAGUUACUUCGGUACAUCGGUGACAGGUGGUGCAUGGUUGUCGUCAGCUCGUGUCGUGAGAUGUUGGGUUAAGUCCCGCAACGAGCGCAACCCCUAUUGUUAGUUGCCAUCAUUCAGUUGGGCACUCUAGCGAGACUGCCGGUAAUAAACCGGAGGAAGGUGGGGAUGACGUCAAAUCAUCAUGCCCCUUAUGACCUGGGCUACACACGUGCUACAAUGGUUGGUACAACGAGUUGCGAGUCGGUGACGGCGAGCUAAUCUCUUAAAGCCAAUCUCAGUUCGGAUUGUAGGCUGCAACUCGCCUACAUGAAGUCGGAAUCGCUAGUAAUCGCGGAUCAGCACGCCGCGGUGAAUACGUUCCCGGGCCUUGUACACACCGCCCGUCACACCACGAGAGUUUGUAACACCCGAAGUCGGUGAGGUAACCUUUGGAGCCAGCCGCCUAAUGGGACAGCAGUGGG